AAAUCACAGCCCAGACAGGAGGAAGAGGGCCCCAGUAACCACCAACAUUUCCAUAAAAGGGCCCACCAAAAUCCUCAGAACCUGGUCCAUGAUGCUCUUAAUCCAGCCCUGCGUGUAAAUUUGCAAAGGUUCUGGA